rnacentral:rRNA from 1 species
AUACGGAGGAUCCGAGCGUUAUCCGGAUUUAUUGGGUUUAAAGGGUGCGCAGGCGGCCAUUUAAGUCAGCGGUUAAAUCGUGGGCUCAACCCCAUUCUGCCGUUGAUACUGGGUGGCUUGAUUGCGGUCGAGGUUGGCGGAAUUCGUUGUGUAGCGGUGAAAUGCAUAGAUAUGACGAAGAACACCGAUUGCGUAUGCAGCUGACCAGACCGCAAAUGACGCUCAUGCACGAAAGUGCGGGGAUCGAACAGGAUUAGAUACCCUGGUAGUCCGCACAGUAAACGAUGAAUACUUGUUUUCGGCGAUAUAAUGUCGGAGGCAAAGCGAAAGCGAUAAGUAUCCCACCUGGGGAGUACGCCGGCAACGGUGAAACUCAAAUGAAUUGACGGGG